rnacentral:lncRNA from 1 species
UUAAACUUGUGUUUGUGCAAGUAUAGCAUACUCGAACUCGAGGAAACAUUUCAACUUUCUGAGAAAACAUCAGCUUCUGAUUCUUUCUGCAAGGACAUGUAAAUGGGAUGGCUACCCUUAAUCUCAUUCCCUAAAAGGUCAGUCAUGCAACUCUUUUUCCUGAUCUGAUAACUUCUGGUCACAUUAAAUUCCAAUUAAACUUGAAAUCGAACCGAGAGCUCGGCACUGAUUUCUUCAUUUAGAAGAUUAAACCAGAAUCCUUGCUGAAAUUCCUUGCAACUUUACCUAAUAAACGUUGGGUUAUGAAAUUGGGUCAUCAUGCAUGGGGAAAGAAGAGGCUGCCAUUUAUUGUUCUUCCUUCAACAACAUAAUAUACACUUUGAAGUAGUGAUAUUUAAGAGUUAUCAGAUCAGUAGGCUGAAGUGGUCAAAAGGAGUUAUUUAAGAUAAGUUGUAGAAUCGGCAGCUUCAGCCUAGUAUGCCAUAGGAUUGGGAACUUUGAACAGCCGAAAGUGAAUUAAUGCAGUAGAAAUCUGUGACUAAAUUUGCAAGAGCAUAAAUUCCCCAACUGUCCACUUAAUUGCUUUGAAUCCCAUAGUCACCAAACUAGCUUAGAUUUGAAACUGUCUUUCCAUAAAACUUUGGAACUACUUUGGGUGGUGGGGAACUACUUUUGGCUUUGCUUUUCAACAUCUUACCUUGGUUUUAUCAAGUCAAAAUAAUAUAACACCCCAGAGGCAAAUCUCACAUAUUACAAAACUAUUUAGCUACAUAAUUAGGUUUAACACUUACAUUAAUAAUCAUAAUUAAGUUUAUACUAACAUACAUAUUCAUAAACCUUAACCAUAAUCCAUUCUGAAGGUUCCCAGACAACUUAAUUAUACAUGGAACAACUUAACAAGAAUAUAUACAAGGAAUAGUCCUCAAGGCUUAUGAUGCUGGGUGUAAAUGUAGUCCAAGUGAGCCUCUGAGAUUAUUCUUCUCUUCAAGCAUUCAUCAUCUCCAGCAUCACAAGCUUCUACCCCCAAUAGCUGCUGCAAAGCAUUGGAAAACAAAAACAUCAAAAUAUUUAGCCAAAUAUUAAAAGAUAGUGAGACGAAAGGCUGAUGAAAAAGAGAUAGGAUUUGAAGCUUACAUUCAUUAGUUCAUUGUCUACCAUAUCCGCUGUUUGAGUAAGCUCUACCUCUUCUUUUCCUGCAGAUGAAGAAGAUAGGUUCAUUGCUGCGGAAAUCUCGGAUCCAAAUUCGAAUUUCCUCGAAAACCGAAUAAAAAAAAUGGGGUGCUCACAGGCAGGCACUUACCUUGUUUGUUUGCUAGGGAACGAGCAGAUAAAUGGGAAG